GACGAACGCUGGCGGCGUGCCUAAUACAUGCAAGUAGAACGCUGAAGGAGGAGCUUGCUUCUCUGGAUGAGUUGCGAACGGGUGAGUAACGCGUAGGUAACCUGCCUGGCAGCGGGGGAUAACUAUUGGAAACGAUAGCUAAUACCGCAUAAUAGUAGAUGUUGCAUGACAUUUGCCUAAAAGGUGCAAUUGCAUCACUACCAGAUGGACCUGCGUUGUAUUAGCUAGUUGGUGGGGUAACGGCUCACCAAGGCGACGAUACAUAGCCGACCUGAGAGGGUGAUCGGCCACACUGGGACUGAGACACGGCCCAGACUCCUACGGGAGGCAGCAGUAGGGAAUCUUCGGCAAUGGACGGAAGUCUGACCGAGCAACGCCGCGUGAGUGAAGAAGGUUUUCGGAUCGUAAAGCUCUGUUGUAAGAGAAGAACGAGUGUGAGAGUGGAAAGUUCACACUGUGACGGUAUCUUACCAGAAAGGGACGGCUAACUACGUG
rnacentral:rRNA from 1 species